AUCUUCCACAAUGGGCGCAAGCCUGAUGGAGCAACGCCGCGUGAGUGAGGAAGGCCUUCGGGUCGUAAAGCUCUGUUGCCAGGGAAGAAUAAGGGCCAGUUAACUGCUGGUCCGAUGACGGUACCUGAGAAGAAAGCCCCGGCUAACUACGUGCCAGCAGCCGCGGUAAUACGUAGGGGGCAAGCGUUGUCCGGAAUUAUUGGGCGUAAAGCGCGCGCAGGCGGUUCUUUAAGUCUGGUGUCUAAGUGCGGGGCUCAACCCCGUGAUGCACUGGAAACUGGGGAACUUGAGUGCAGAAGAGGAGAGCGUAAUUCCACGUGUAGCGGUGAAAUGCGUAGAGAUGUGGAGUAACACCAGUGGCGAAGGCGGCUCUCUGGACUGUAACUGACGCUGAGGCGCGAAAGCGUGGGGAGCAAACAGG
rnacentral:rRNA from 1 species